UACGGGAGGCAGCAGUGGGGAAUAUUGCACAAUGGGCGCAAGCCUGAUGCAGCCAUGCCGCGUGUAUGAAGAAGGCCUUCGGGUUGUAAAGUACUUUCAGUCGUGAGGAAGGUGUUAAGGUUAAUAACCUUAGCAAUUGACGUUAGCGACAGAAGAAGCACCGGCUAACUCCGUGCCAGCAGCCGCGGUAAUACGGAGGGUGCGAGCGUUAAUCGGAAUUACUGGGCGUAAAGGGCACGCAGGCGGUUAAUUAAGUUGGAUGUGAAAUCCCCGGGCUUAACCUGGGAAUGGCAUUCAAGACUGGUUAGCUAGAGUCUUGUAGAGGGGGUAGAAUUCCAUGUGUAGCGGUGAAAUGCGUAGAGAUGUGGAGGAAUACCGGGUGGCGAAGGCGGCCCCUGGACAAAGGCUGACGCUCAUGUGCGAAAGCGUGGGGAGCAAA
rnacentral:rRNA from 1 species